AAGUCGUAACAAGGUUUUCGUAGGUGAACCUGCGGAAGGAUCAUUAGUGAAACAUCAGAGUGCUCUUUAUUGAGGCUCGUUUAACUAUCCAAACACUUUGUGCAUUUGAAAUCAAUAUCUUACCCUUUGGGCUUCGGUCUUUGGGUUUGAUUUUUACAUAACCCCAUUGCUUUAAUUGAGAUGAUGAUGUUAAAAUUGAAAUAUGAAAGAAACAA
rnacentral:misc_RNA from 1 species